ACUCCCUUUCCCGUCGAGCUAUUUGCAAUUUUGCCGUGGGGGUAACCCAUGGAGAUCACGGAGGAGCAGCGGCGUCGCGCCGAGGCCAACCGCCUCGCCGCCCUCGAGAAGCGCAAGCGCUACGCAGAGGCCGCGGCUGCCACCGCCUUUCCCACCUCCGGUGCCUCCACAUUCCCUGCCUACGACACUGCCGCCGCCGCCGAGUGGAGGCUCGCCAAAUGCCCAAGAAUCGCCCCGCCCGCGCGCCAGUUACCGUUUGUACCGCUGCCCCCUCGUCCUUCCCCACCGCCGCUGCCGCCGACUCCGCCUCAGCCGCCGGUGGGGUUCCAGGUUGUGCUGGAGGUAUGCGGCCCCGACGAGUUCUGGGUGGCGGUGGUGCCGGUAGAAGGCAGGGCCUACCCUGGGGAGGCCGAGUGCCUCGGCGCCGUCCAGGACUGCCUCGCUGCGGCUUCGGUUGUACAAUACUCUGCAACACAGUCGCUAAGUCAAAGCACACAUCUUCGUCCUGUAUUUAAGCUUGUGGACUAUGGUGUGGUGUUGAAAUGCCUUAAGAAAUUACCUGGAGCUUCUGUGCAAGAAAUACCUUCUAGCACAAAGAGAAUUAUUCAGAAUAUACCUAGGUAUCACGUCCAAAAGUGGGCUUCUGAUGAAGAAGUACAUGAGCUUCUCAAGAAACUGCCACAGCAAAUAAAAGAUGCGCUUUUACCCUUCCAACUUGAAGGAGUGAUGUUUGGGCUUCGAAGGCGUGGACGUUGCCUAAUUGCAGAUGAGAUGGGGCUCGGCAAGACUCUCCAGGCGAUUGCAAUAGCAUGCUGUUUCAAGGACGAGGGCUCUAUAUUAAUAGUAUGUCCAGCUGUAUUGCGUUAUUCUUGGGCAGAGGAAUUGGAACGCUGGGAUCCUUCAUUUAUGCCAAAAGAUAUUCAUAUUGUAUUUGGUCGUCAAGACAGUCUUGAACAUCUAAAUGCUACUCCAAGGGCAGUGAUUAUAUCUUACCAGAUGCUAAGUCGCCUUAGAGAAAGUAUGGUGAAUAGAACAUGGGCACUGAUGAUUGUUGAUGAAUCACAUAACAUACGCUGCACGAAGAAACUAGAAGAAAAAUAUGAGACAAAAGCUGUGCUACAUCUAGCUUCAAAAACUGAACGCAUCAUAUUGCUCUCGGGGACACCCUCUUUCUCAAGACCUUUUGAUAUCUACCACCAGAUAAAUAUGCUAUGGCCCCACAUGCUUGGUACUGAUAAAUUUGAUUAUGCGAAAAAAUAUUGCUUGCUGCAUGUUGCACGAAGUUAUCAGGGGAAAAUGUUUAAGGACUUCUCUAAGGGCACACGGUUGACAGAGUUAAAUGUUUUGCUCAGUCAAACUGUCAUGAUUAGGCGACUGAAGGAGCAUUUGUUGAAUGAACUGCCCCCCAAGCGGCGACAAAUUAUUAGGUUGAAGCUAAAGGCACCAGAUAUCAGGGCAGCCACAUCUUCAUGCGGCAAAAGGGUGAACCCUAACAGUUGUAAUGGAACUCUUACAAUUGAAUUGCCCAGUAAAAGCAAUGAUGAUGAAAAUACAAAAGAGGAAGAAGAAGAUGAUUGCAAGAAAUCUCCAAGGAGUCUCACCCCACAAGAGAUUGGUAUCGCAAAGUUAUCUGGAUUUAGUGAAUGGUUCUCAAAUCAUUUCAUCAUGAAUGGAUUUGAUGCUAACCAUAACCUGGAUCCCCAGUCUAGCUGUCAGAAAACAAUAAUAUUUGCACAUCACUUAAAGGUUCUAGAUGGAAUACAGGUGUUUAUCUCUGAGAAUGAGAUCAGAUUUGUUCGCAUUGAUGGAAGCACACUUCAAAGGGAAAGGAAAGAAGCUGUUGAUUCUUUCCGUUUGGAUCCAGAGGUGAAGGUUGCAAUAAUUGGAAUUACUGCUGGUGGUGUUGGCUUAGACUUCUCAUCUGCUCAGAAUGUUAUUUUUGUGGAGCUCCCAAAAUCAGCUUCAGAAUUGCUUCAGGCUGAGGAUAGAGCUCAUAGACGUGGCCAAAGAAAUGCGGUCAACAUAUAUAUAUUCUGUGGAAAGAACACAUUGGAUGAAUCACACUGGCUCCAGUUAAACCAGAGUCUGUUCCGUGUCUCGUCUUUGAUGAAUGGAAAAAAGGAUGCUGUAAGGGAGAUUGAGGUUGAUCAAGUGUGCCAACUUGAAGAAAUCAAGGACACCGAGGAAACACAACGCAAACUGCAUCCUUUGGAGAAUCAUAAUGCAGAUUUGACCCACGUACCAAAAAAACUUCUGGAAAGUGAUGAUUUGUCCAUUGAUGGUUUUCUUGGCAUCGAAGAUUUGGAAUUUGACUUGGAUUUCACCAUUAGGACAAUUCCUCUUGAAUUUGAGGAUGAAAACCCCGGCACAUCCUUGAAAAAUAAUCCAACUCCAACAGUACUUGAAGACAGAUCUUGUAUUGAUGUUUCUCUUUCACCAGCUGCAGUCUUUUGCUCUGUACUAUCUAGUUGUAAAUCAAUAAAGUCUCGUAAGAGGCUUUCUGGAAAUUCUGGGUCCUUGAGUCAAGCUGCAUCUGUUCCAGAUUUUCCAAUUCAAGUGGAGUCUCUGCGUUUUGAGGUUAGCCGGCACACAGGACGAAUCCACUUGUACAGUUGUGUUCCUGGACAUGAUUCAAGACCCAAACCACUUUGUGAAAAUUUUCUGCCAGAAGAAUUGAAUUCACCUUUAUGUUCUCCCAGUGAUGUUAAAACAAGAACUCUUCUCUUGAAAAAGAUUCCUUCAUUUUGCAAUGUGUUCAAUGCAUUCAUCAAAGAGUGGUUGGCACUAAGACCAAUUGAUCAAAAUAAAUUGCUUGGAAAGCCAUUACAACUUCCGUUGAACCUUGAGUUGUGUUUUCUGAAAGAUAGCAUCAAUCAUAGCACAGAAGGGAUACUUAAAGGGGGAAGUAAGAGGCGUGCUGCAUCAUUGAAUGAUGUCAGUAAUCCUUUGCCAGAAAAUGCUGAAUGGAGACAGGUGGUGUUGCGUAAUGGCACCUGUAAAGAGAGACAGUACACUCAGGGCUGGACCAUUGAUGAUGAACCUCUCUGCAAACUUUGUCAAGGACUUUGCAAAAUAAUGCUGUUUUACUUGGUUCAGUGGAAGGCUUGCAAAGUCACCAGAAUAUUUUGAAGAUCUAUUCUGUAGUUUAGCUUGUUUCCAGGAAUACAGAUUAAGAACCAGUGGCAGGGCCCUCCGGCAGGCACUGUUUCAAAUAGAACGUGGCAAGUGCUCCCAAUGCAAGCUCGAUUGUUGCAAGCUUGUCAAACACAUUAAACUCUUACCUUUGGGAAAGCGAGAAGAAUACAUCAGAAAGGUUGCUCCAAACAUUGCAAGUAGAAAGAAACUCCUAGAUAAACUUGUCCGUGAACCAAUUGAUGGAAAUGCUUGGCAUGCAGAUCACAUAAUACCUGUUUAUAAAGGAGGAGGGGAAUGUAAACUCGAGAACAUGAGAACACUGUGUGUGGCUUGUCAUUAUGAGGUCACCAGAACUCAGCACAAGGAACUAAAAGAAAUAAGAAAGAAGGCUAAAGAGCACUUGAAAAACGCCUUGAAUAAACAAAAGGAUAAACCAAGUGAAGCAACAGAAGAACUAGAUGACGAAUCGUUGCUGAUAGCUGUCCCGGGUAGUGCCUACUCCUUAGGAUUUCCUGGCAACGGAUCUGAUGAAAAGGCUGCUGAAUAGGGCAUGUUUCAUUUACCUUGAUUAUUGUUCAAAAAGGGCGCUGGUAUUUUUUAGCUCGCGUCCUUUUUUUGUACAUGUUAAAUGCUACCAAGCGUUUGUAAGCUGUUCGGCUGCUCUUAUAAGCAGCACUGAUAAGCAACACUAUUGCAGCUGCAGAGCUAGAAUUAUCUCACAUUUUUGGGCUUGUUCGUUUUGAUGCUAAACCAUGUGGAUUGAGUUGGAUUGA